UGAUUGUUAGAGAAAAAAGGAGCAACUGGAUAACAGUAGUAGCUCUCCUGGGUGGAUUGCAAGUCUGAAUUGAUCUUAAUUGUGAAGAACAAUGAAGACAUCUACUUUUGCUUUAUUCAUGUUCUUGUGGCUGCAACUAGACUGGGUGAGCCAAGGAGUGAAGGUGGAGCAGAGUCCUGCUAUCCUGAAUAUCCAGGAGGGAGACAGCGCUGUUAUCAACUGUACUUAUUCAGACAGUGCUAUGAACUAUUUCCCUUGGUAUAAGCAAGAAACUGGAAAAGCUCCCCAGAUCAUUAUAGACAUUCGUUCAACUAAGGAGAUGAAUCAAAUCCAAAGAUUCAUUGUUGUGUUGAAUAAGAGAGCCAAACACUUCUUCCUGAACAUCACGGCCACCCAACCUGGAGACUCAGCUGUGUACUUCUGUGCAGCCAGUGCACAGUGCUUCCCAGACACCUGCAGCCUGUACUCAAACCUGCCACUGGGCUGA